UACGGAGGGUGCAAGCGUUAUCCGGAUUCACUGGGUUUAAAGGGUGCGUAGGUGGGUCGGUAAGUCAGUGGUGAAAUCUCCGGGCUUAACCCGGAAACUGCCAUUGAUACUAUAGAUCUUGAAUAUCCUGGAGGUGAGCGGAAUAUGUCAUGUAGCGGUGAAAUGCUUAGAUAUGACAUAGAACACCAAUUGCGAAGGCAGCUCACUACGGGAUUAUUGACACUGAGGCACGAAAGCGUGGGGAUCAAACAGG
rnacentral:rRNA from 1 species